AUGAGGGAGACUGAUUAAACAAUCCUUUAAAACGUAUCAUUACAGCUAUAUUUCUUGGUGUGAAUAGUCUCAGUGCACUUAAACAGUGGAAUUAUUACAACACUAAUGGGGAAUAAUUAAAUAAGUUGUUUUUGUCUUCUGUUUUCUUCUUACUCCCUUUCUGGAACCGUUCUUCACCAGACUCAAACCCCAUCAUCGUGAUCAACUCCUCUCUGCAUCUCAAGUUUGCCGACAAACAUGGCAAACAAACUCUUUACAGCAGGAAAGCCAGAGAGACUCAAACUCCUUCAUCAUGAUCAACUCCUCUCUGCAUCUCAAGUUCACAGACAAACAUGGCAAACAAACUCUUUACAGCAGGAAAGCCAGAAAGGCCGUAUCCUGAGCUGAUUCUGUGGUGGUUAUCGAGGAGUAUAGAGCAUAAAACUGAUUCCUGAAAGACCCCAGUGACAGAUGAGUCUCCGCAUUGAUCCUGUGGGCCAGCCUGAACACCCACUGAUGACCUACUCACACCUGUAUCUUCUCCACACUGGAUGACCAGCGUUCUCCAGCCUCUGGCCCCUAGACUGCAGCUCUGCACAAGAAGAUUGACCAGAGGAGAAAUGGUCAAGCUCAGCUCAGCCUGGUUUCUCUUAAAGUUUUUUCCUUCACUUUAGUCAAUUAGUGAAGUUUGUUGCUUGCCACUGUCACCACUUGCUCGUUUGGUUUGUGAGUUGUGGAGCUGCACAUUGAUGGAUUUGGUCAGUGUUUGGACUUUCAGCUGUGAAAUUUAAACCA